rnacentral:rRNA from 1 species
AUAGCGUAUAUUAAAGUUGUUGCAGUUAAAAAGCUCGUAGUUGAAUUUUAGGCCUGGUUGGACGGUCUGCUCUAGGGUUUGUACUGUCCUGACUGGGUCUUACCUUCUGGUGAGCUGUCGUAUUGUUUACUCAGUGCGGCAGGGAACCAGGACUUUUACUUUGAAAAAAUUAGAGUGUUUAAAGCAGGCAUUCGCUUGAAUACAUUAGCAUGGAAUAAUAGAAUAGGACUUUGGCUCUAUUUUGUUGGUUUCUAGGACCAAGGUAAUGAUUGAUAGGGAUAGUUGGGGGCAUUAGUAUUUAGUUGUCAGAGGUGAAAUUCUUGGAUUUA